rnacentral:rRNA from 1 species
UACGGAGGGUGCGAGCGUUGUCCGGAAUCAUUGGGCGUAAAGGGCGCGUAGGUGGCCCGGUCAGUUCGUGGUGAAAGCGCGGGGCUCAACCCUGCGUCGGCCAUGAAUACUGCCGCGGCUGGAGCACUGUAGAGGCAGGCGGAAUUCCGGGUGUAGCGGUGGAAUGCGUAGAGAUCCGGAAGAACACCGGUGGCGAAGGCGGCCUGCUGGG